UACGGAGGGUGCAAGCGUUAAUCGGAAUUACUGGGCGUAAAGCGUGCGUAGGCGGUUCGUUAAGUCUGUUGUGAAAGCCCCGGGCUCAACCUGGGAAUGGCAAUGGAUACUGGCGAGCUAGAGUGUGUCAGAGGAUGGUGGAAUUCCCGGUGUAGCGGUGAAAUGCGUAGAGAUCGGGAGGAACAUCAGUGGCGAAGGCGGCCAUCUGGGACAACACUGACGCUGAGGCACGAAAGCGUGGG
rnacentral:rRNA from 1 species